AAUUACGUUACGUGGCCAGCGUGUUCUGAUUACUAGCUAUGAUGAGUAGUCGCUGAUUAAGUCCAGUCGUUUAAUGAACACCAGCUUAAACUUUGGCGGUGCCGAUUGAUACUGUUAGACUUGAUAAUUUGUAGUAGCUGAAUGCGUAGUGUAGCGGUGAGAUGAUCAUGAUAUUACGCAGAACCCCCGAUUGCGGAGGCAGGUUACUACGAAUUUAUUGACGCUGAGGCACGAAAGUGUGGGUAGCAAACAGGAUUAGAUACCCUGGUAGUCCACACUGUAAACGAUGAUAACUAGAUGUUCGGCAGCAAUGCUGAGUGUUCAAGCGAAAGCGAUAAGUUAUCCACCUGGGGAGUACGACCGCAAGGUUGAAACUCAAAGGAAUUGACGGGGGCCCGCACAAGUGGUGGAGCAUGUGGUUUAAUUCGAUGAUACGCGAGGAACCUUACCUAGGCUAGAAUGUGAGUGAAUUGACUUGAAAGGGUCAAGUCCUUCGGGACACGAAACAAGGUGCUGCAUGGUUGUCGUCAGCUCGUGCCGUGAGGUGUUGGGUUAAGUCCCGCAACGAGCGCAACCCCUAUCGUUAGUUACCAUCAUUAAGUUGGGGACUCUAGCGAGACUGCCGGCGUAAGCCGCGAGGAAGGUGGGGAUGACGUCAAAUCAUCAUGGCCUUUAUGCCUAGGGCGACACACGUGCUACAAUGGCCGGCACAGAGGGUAGCGAUACAGUGAUGUGGAGCCAAUCCCAGAAAGCCGGUCCCAGUUCGGAUUGGAGUCUGCAACCCGACUCCAUGAAGGUGGAAUCGCUAGUAAUCGCGCAUCAGCCAUGGCGCGGUGAAUACGUUCCCGGACCUUGUACACACCGCCCGUCAAGCCAUGGAAGCUGGGGGUGCCUGAAGAUGGUGACUAUAAGUGGAGCUAUCUAGGGUAAAACCAGUAACUGGGGUAAGUGUAACAAGGUAACC
rnacentral:rRNA from 1 species